rnacentral:rRNA from 1 species
UUCUAGGCCGUGAAGGAAUAUUGGUCAAUAGCCUAACGGCUGAACCAGCAACUAGGAGGAAUGUAAAAUUACUGUAAAAGGUAGUUUUCUGUAUUAAAAAUUAAAUAUAGAGUUAACGUAGUUAAGUAAAGUUCCAAGUAGAAAUUGAUUAUGACAAUUUCUAUAUAUGUCUUGACCAAUUCAUGUGCCAGCAGUCGCGGUAACACAUGUAAGACUGGUGUUAUUCAUCUUUAAUAGGUUUAAAGGGUACCUAGACAGUUAAUUAAGCCUUUAAAGGUACUAAUUAACUAGAGUUUAAUGUAAGAAGAAGAGUACGGUGAGUGUAGAGAUAAAAUUCAGUGAUACCACUUAGAAACUGGCAAAUGCGAAGGCAAUCUUUUAUGUAAAAACUGACGUUGAGGGACGAAGGCUCGUUAAAAAUAACAGGAUUAGAUACCCUAGUAUUGUGGGCAGACAAUGAUGAAUGUCAUAUGCAAGAAAUUUUUUUGUGUAUAAAUGAAAGUGUAAGCAUUCCACCUCAAGAGUAAUAUGGCAACAUAUAAACUGAAAUCAUUAGACCGUUUCUGAAACUCGUAGUGAAGUAUGUUGUUUAAUUUGAUGAUCCACAAAGAACCUUACCACAAUUUGAAUAUCCACACACGUUGUGUGGUUACAAGAGUUGCACGGCUGUCUUCAGUUAAUGUCGUGAGACUUUGGUUAGAUCCAUUAAAUUAACGUAUAACCCUUACUUUAUUUAGUAUAAAAUAGUUCGCCGCUAUAUUGGUAGUGAUAUAAGGGACCAAGACAAGUCAUCAUGGCCUAUAUAUUGUGGGCUAUAGACGUGCCACAUNA